GCCCGACUCCGCGAGCCCGUGGGCGGCCGCUGCGGGGCUGGCGCUGCCACCGCCGCAGUGUUCGGGAGGGGCAGCGCGGCCGCCCCGCUUCCUGCAGCAGCCGCCCGCCGCCAGACGGGGUCCACGAGAAAAGCAAUGCUGAGAGAUGGAGAAAGAGCCCUUGAAAGACCAUGGAUCCUGCUACAUCUCAAGGCUGGAGUGCAGUAGUGAUCAUAGCUCACUGAAGCCUGGAACUCCUGGGCUCAAGUGAUCCUCCUGCUUCAACCUCCCUAGAAGCUGGGACUAGAGGAAGAGGAAUAGGAACCUGAAGCUGGUUGAGUCAGGCUUCUACCUAAGGACUGCCAAGAUGGGGUAAGCCAGCAGAUCCUCCAUGGCUCAAGCAGAGUAAAUUACCUUCAAGAGGAAGAAGCCCUAGGGCAUGAGUAAAAGGUCACUCUCUGCAUUUCUGAGAUGUAUUUUUUUAGAAAAAAUAACAGAAACAGUUAUUGUCUUGAGCUGCUGUUUAUUCCAGUGCUGUUUUAACUUUAUUGAGUCCAAUCAUUGGUAGAUUCUAUUGCUUAUACCAAAACUUUUACACUAAGCUUUUCUUAAAGCUACUCUUGUAACUUGUUAGAUUUUCUUGAAAUGUUUUGUAAUAGUGUAUGGUUCAGAGUUAUUUUGCAGAGAUGAUAUCCAAUAUCAAAUAUGGAUAACAAUAAAAAGUACAGAAAAAAUAUUCAAAUACAUGUAUUUUAAUAUGGUUUUCUAAUUUUUCAAUGUUUUACGUUUUGUAGUUCAUUUGUUUUCUAAAAGAAUUCAUGGUAACUAAGUGGCAUUGAUACAUACUUGCAACAAAUAUUUAAAAAUCUGACUAAAAUGCUUAGGAAAUGAGGAAACUAUAUCACAAACUUAGCUUAAUUAACUACUGCUACUGGAUUAAAUAUUUAACCCUGAGGCUCAGAAUCCAAAGGGAGAAGUAUUUACAUUGAAUGAAGUAGGUAUCAUACUCAUUGUGUGAGAAAAUAAGUGGUCCAAAUUUACCUGAAGACACAAAACUGUAUUAAAUAUGAAUCUGUCCUCUAUUAGAAUGGAACGUUCAUUAUUUCAUUUAUCUUUCUAAGCCUAACACUCAAUACAAAGCCUGUUCCAUAAUAGAUGUUCACUUGAGUUUGGAAAAUAAAUUAAUUUACUGUAUAGAUAUUUGUAUCAUAGUAGAUAUAAAACAUAAUAAAAUGUAAUCAGUUUUUCAAAAGAUUCUAGUUAUAAAAUUGGAACAUGAUCCUUGUUUUAUAAAUUUUUCUUUGGAAGGUUGUUUGUUUAAUUUUGUUUUCAACUUUGUUCCUUUCUCUACUUCUGCUACCCUGCUGCCAUACUCUUUGGUUAUCUUGGGUACCUACAUAUCCUUGCACAAUAUGUAGUGUUAUUAUGUAUAUGUAUGUUUUCAAUACAUAUUUUGUAUAUGUAUGUUUUCAAUUUAUGUAUUGUAUGAUGCUAUACAUUUUAUUAUCCUUCUUAACCUUUUUUAUCUAACACUACGUAUAUUGCUAUACAAGCAAUAUAUACAAUCAAUUGGCUUUAAUUGUUGCAGAAUAUUUUCUGGUGCUUAAUCACCACAGUUUAUGUAUGAAUUUUCUUAGUAUGGACACCAAGAUUGCCUCUGACUCCCCAUAGCCUCAAAAAUAUAACUGUGUCAAUCUGUGCAAGUUUUACUCUUGGGUAUAAUUCCUAAAGCCAGUUCAUUGAAUUGUAGUGUAUCAGUGGAUUUAGCGUCAUUAAUACUGCCAGGCUGGUUUUUAAUAUCAGAUACACUUCUACCUGCUGGGCAUGAUGGGUUUCAUUUCUCUACAUACUCACCAACAUUUGAUAAGUUCUAAUUUUAACUUCAUGCUGAUUUGAUGUUUAUAGAGUAUUUUCUUGUUUAAAUAAAUAUGCAUUUCUCCAAUUACUGAUGAAGAUGGAUAUAACUUCACAGGCUUCUUAGCAAUCAAAUUUCU